GGGGUAGUUGUUCAUGGUGGGCCGUUCGCCUGCAAAGCGAUACGUUUUGGAGUUCGAUUCUCCUCUAUCCCUC
rnacentral:tRNA from 1 species